UGCUUGACCCAUCGGCAAUGUCUAAGGUCUAUCACAGCUCUUGGAAUGAGCUUUACUUCUCUUUCAAUGUCCCAUCCUGCCUCCAGGCCCUUCCGAGAUGAGGUACCAGGGAGCCUGGAGUAGAUUCAAUUCAACUCAGAGAUCAGAGUUGAAAAGACUUGAAAGGUCACCACGGCACAGCCAUAGGUGAGCCUACAAAUGCAGCCCAUAACAGGUAAGUGAUGUGCUUGAGGGGCAUUCCUAUGCACAACAUGAGUCUUGGUUCCUAGACUAGGGUUUCUGUAGACAGUGGUAUCAUCUCUUGCCAGAUCCCUCCAUAGGGCCAGCAUGGGACUCAUAUUGAAAGGUAUGGAAGGCCAGGCUGUGGAACGGUUUGAAUGGGGGCAUUGAGAGUCAGCAGAUGCGCACGGAGAGUUCCAAAGAAAGUCUCUCUCCCAGCUGAGAUUUCUCUAGGCUGGCAAAUGAACCAGCUGAAGGAAGGGGCCCUGCUCCCAGCUGUGUUAUUGCUCAGCAAAUAUUUAUAUAACCUUUGCCAAGCCCCGCCUUUCCCACCAUCCCUGUACUUGGGAACAGGAGAGAAGUGAGCCUCAACAGAUCUUUGCACGGUGUGACUAUCUGCGCAUGCUUGUAUUAUGGCAGAGUUCUCCUGUCACACUUCCUGGCUCCCCUCGUGCCCCUGUGGGCCCUGUGCAUCACCCCUGCCCUGAAGUCCUCCAGCGGCUUUCCCUCAUCAUGGCCUGGCCCCUAGCUAUCUCCUGACCUCAUUUCUGACCACUCUGUCCUCUGUUUACUUUGCUUCAGUCCCACUGACCUCCUUCUGGUUCCCUGACCAUGUAUUUACUCUUGCCUUGGGCCCUUUGCACAGGCUGUUCGGUUUGCUGAAACCCUACGUCAACUGGCCUACACCCACUGCUCAUGGCUCGACCUUGCUCUUCCUUAUAGCGCAGCAUUAUUUAAGGCUGUAUUUUAAUUUUUAUUUAUUUCCUUGCCAUUUCACUCUCUAUGAGCCAGAGAACAACACCCGUGGUUUCUUCUCCUGUAUCUGCCGUGGCUCCCAUGCAGUAGCUAUUCUAUCAGAUAUACACUGAAUGCAUAAAUAAAAUAUCCUGAAAGUCAUUGGCACCAUCCCUCUUUUCAGAGUGAAGCAAGCACAGGCCAGGUAACAUCCCAGGUCGGUAGGAAAUAGCAAAUCGAAAAUGAAAUUGUAGUCCACCAGGCUUCAGAAGGCUCCAUAGAUUUGUCACUC